rnacentral:rRNA from 1 species
GACGAACGCUGGCGGCGUGCCUAAUACAUGCAAGUAGAACGCUGAAGGAGGAGCUUGCUUCUCUGGAUGAGUUGCGAACGGGUGAGUAACGCGUAGGUAACCUGCCUGGUAGCGGGGGAUAACUAUUGGAAACGAUAGCUAAUACCGCAUAACAGUAGAUAUCGCAUGAUAUCUACUUGAAAGGUGCAAUUGCAUCACUACCAGAUGGACCUGCGUUGUAUUAGCUAGUUGGUGAGGUAACGGCUCACCAAGGCGACGAUACAUAGCCGACCUGAGAGGGGGGUCGGCCACACUGGGACUGAGACACGGCCCAGACUCCUACGGGAGGCAGCAGUAGGGAAUCUUCGGCAAUGGACGGAAGUCUGACCGAGCAACGCCGCGUGAGUGAAGAAGGUUUUCGGAUCGUAAAGCUCUGUUGUAAGAGAAGAACGAGUGUGAGAGUGGAAAGUUCGCACUGUGACGGUAUCUGACCAGAAAGGGACGGCUAACUACGUG